AUUUAAACCCGACUUUAGCGGAUGCUCCUGAUUUAAGCACUUAUUUUUGUUGUUUUAUGGUGUGCUUGCUUGUUUCACAGGUUUCAUCGGAGCAGAAGCGGAAGCGGGACUGCUU
rnacentral:sRNA from 1 species